GGAGUUGUGGCUCAGUGGUAGAGCACUCGCCUAGCAUGUGUGAGACUCUGGGUUCAAUUCUCAGCACCA
rnacentral:tRNA from 1 species